rnacentral:rRNA from 1 species
CGCCUUUUGAGUUAUUAACAUAAAAGGUCCUGCCUGCCCAGUGACAUCUGUUUCAACGGCCGCGGUAUCAUGACCGUGCAAAGGUAGCGUAAUCACUUGUCUUUUAAAUAGAGACCAGUAUGAAUGGCAAGACGAAAGCCUAACUGUCUCCCUGAGUUAGUCAAUAAAAUUGAUCUUCCCGUGCAGAAGCGGGAAUAAUAAUAUAAGACGAGAAGACCCUGUGGAGCUUUAAACUUAAAUUAACAAAACAUAAAUGUACUAACACCAAGUUUUAGGUUGGGGCGACCAUGAGGUAGAAUACAACCCUCAAGACAAAAGCUAAGAAGGACACUUCAAAUAAUAUUAAUUAACACAAUUGACCCAAUAAUUGAUCAACGAACCAAGUUACCCCAGGGAUAACAGCGCAAUCUACUCAAAGAGCCCUUAUCGACGAGCAGGUUUACGACCUCGAUGUUGGAUCAGGACCCCCAAAUAAUGCAACAGUUAUUAAAGGUUCGUUUGUUCAACGAUUAAAGUCCU